rnacentral:rRNA from 1 species
AUUGAACGCUGGCGGCAGGCCUAACACAUGCAAGUCGAGCGGAUGAAGGGAGCUUGCUCCUGGAUUCAGCGGCGGACGGGUGAGUAAUGCCUAGGAAUCUGCCUGGUAGUGGGGGAUAACGUCCGGAAACGGGCGCUAAUACCGCAUACGUCCUGAGGGAGAAAGUGGGGGAUCUUCGGACCUCACGCUAUCAGAUGAGCCUAGGUCGGAUUAGCUAGUUGGUGGGGUAAAGGCCUACCAAGGCGACGAUCCGUAACUGGUCUGAGAGGAUGAUCAGUCAAACUGGAAAUUAGACAAGGGCCAGAAUCCUACGGGAGGCAGCAGUGGGGAAUAUUGGACAAUUGGCGAAAGCCUGAUCCAGGCAUGCCGCGUGUGUGAAGAAGGUCUUCGGAUUGUAAAGCACUUUAAGUUGGGAGGAAGGGCAGUAAGUUAAUACCUUGCUGUUUUGACGUUACCAACAGAAUAAGCACCGGCUAACUUCGUG